AGGUGGCGCAGCAGCUACUGAGGACUGGGGCUGAUCUAACACUGUGCAACCACAGACAGCAGACAGCGCUGCACGUCAGCUCACCUGAGCUCCAGGGGAAACUGGUGAGGUGGAUGUCAAGGCCUCAUCUUCCCCUUCAGGCACAGCUGCUGCAGGCUGCCUGGCAGGGAGACCUGCACUCUGUUCAGCACCUGUUGACUCACACCGACAGUGUGGAUGUGAAUAUUCCAAACGGCGACGGUGUGACAGCUGUGAUGCUCGCCGUCAGGGACAUUGACCUUUUUGAGGGCAUAGCCACACAGUUGCCAUGGGAGCACAGACCUGUGGAAGUGAUGAAGGAACUGCUGGGACUUUCAGCUGAUCUUCAGCCACGAGACCACAACGGCUGCUCUGCUCUCCACUACGCUGCUCACAUCAACAGCUGUCUGACGGAGGAGAUCAUUCAUAUUCUGGUGGAGGCUCUAAAUCACACAGAUGCUGUCCCUGUGUCACCCUUGGUCCAUGACAAACACCCAUGCCAAGAUCUGGACUCAGAGUUUGGAGAUUCAGACAUAGAGGUGGACAUUGAGAGCCUUUAUCCUAAUCAGUCGACAGCAGCCUCUCCCACGCUGACACCGACCCAACAACACCACUUUGUUCUGUACAGCCACACUGGGGAAGUGCUGGAGCCUCCAGGGUGUCCUCCUCUAUCUGACCAUCACAAAGAUCUCAGCCAAGAUAAGGGGAUCCCCCACUGUUUCCAAAAUGCCAUGGAAACACUGAGAGACAUCGGGCAAGCCUAUCAGGACACAGGGAGGGGGAACAGAGGUAUGUCUCUGCCCAGUCUGAGCAACAGCAGCAGACUCUGGGGUCAUGGAGAUGCUGCUCCGACACCUGGCUUGUUGAGCACCAGGACCUCCUGCCAGCCGGUACCUCCCACACACAGACGUAGAACCAGAAGUAUGGUUGCUGCCUCUCCACCCUCUCACAGUCUGCUGUCUGUGGAGCCCAGCCAGCUCAGCCAAUCAGCCCCCAGCAUCAUGGAACCACUACUGUGUCCAAACACUAUGAUGCAGGCCAGAGCACACAUCCAGAGCCGACUUGCUUCUCAAAAUACUGUAAAUGAACAAAAGCCUUUCUUACCAGUUCUGCGAACUCCCAAGCUCCUGGCACCCCUGGAUGGUCGACCCAGAGCCACCACAGUACUAAAGCAACGUGUUCCCCUGAAGCCCAUCAGUCAGAGCCCCCUCUGCUCCAGGACCCGGCUGAGGAGAGAGAGGCUGUCCUGGAGCAGCGGUC
ensembl:lncRNA